UAACAAGGGUUUCCGUAGGUGAACCUGCGGAAGGAUCAUUACAGAGUUCGUGCCCCCCGGGGUAGACCUCCCACCCUUGUGUAUCAUUAUGAAAUGUUGCUUUGGCGCGCCGUACGCACAGCCUACCCGGGGACUCCCCCGGUGCGCGCGCCAGAGGACCCCAAACCCCUGAGUUUUAGUGUCGUCAGAGUACUACCUAAUAGUUAAAACUUUCAACAACGGAUCUCUUGGUUCUGGCAUCGAUGAAGAACGCAGCGAAAUGCGAUAAGUAAUAUGAAUUGCAGAAUUCAGUGAAUCAUCGAAUCUUUGAACGCAUAUUGCACCCCUUGGUAUUCCGGGGGGUAUGCCUGUUCGAGCGUCAUUAGGACCCCUCCAGCCUGGCUGGGUGUUGGGCUCCGCCGUCGGGCGGGCCUUAAAGCUAGUGGCGGUGCUCGCGAGCUCUACGCGUAGUUAUUUUCGUCGCUACAGAGCCUCGCGGGGUGCUGGCCAUCAACCCUAACUCAAGGUUGACCUCGGAUCAGGUAGG
rnacentral:rRNA from 1 species